UUGUAAAUCUCCAGAUAAAGCCUGAAGCUUAACUCCAGAAAGUCUGAAGAGACUGCAAGACUUGAGAUCGGGUGAGGUUAAACGUACUUUCAGGGUAGGGGUAAAGUCCUGUAAUCCCGGAAGGACGACCAGUGGCGAAAGCGUUUAACUAGAACGAAUCUGACGGUAAGGAACGAAGGCUAGGGUAGCAAACCGGAUUAGAUACCCGGGUAGUCCUAGCUGUAAACAUUGCCCAUUUGAUGUUGCUUUCCCGUUGAGGGAAGGCAGUGUCGGAGCGAAGGUGUUAAAUGGGCCGCUUGGGAAGUAUGGUCGCAAGACUGAAACUUAAAGGAAUUGGCGGGGGAGCACCGCAACGGGAGGAAUGUGCGGUUUAAUUGGGAUUCAACGCCGGAAACUCACCGGGAACGACCUGUGCAUGAGAGUCAACUUGACGAGCUUACUCGAUAGCAGGAGAGGUGGUGCAUGGCCGUCGUCAGCUCGUACCGUAGGGCGUUCACUUAAGUGUGAUAACGAGCGAGACCCACAUCUUUAAUUGCAAAUGUAUAUGGGAAUAUGCAUGCACUUUAGAGAAACCGCCAGCGCUAAGCUGGAGGAAGGAGUGGUCGACGGCAGGUCAGUACGCCCCGAAUUUCUCCGGGCUACACGCGCAUUACAAAGAACGGGACAUACGUUGCAACUCGAAAGAGGGAGCCAAUCGCGUACCCGUCCAUAGUUAGGAUUGAGGG
rnacentral:rRNA from 1 species